GUAACACAAAAGUCAACAAUGGAGUAUUUAUAUUGUUGAUGUCUAUGUAUAUCCAAAUUAUAUAAAAGCAAUUUCGGAUUAGUUCAACGAAUAGUAAUGCUGAAUUUGCUCUAGAAAAAAAUAUCAUCGGAAAUGGAGGUCAAACGAAGGGCGGUGAAGAAUCUCGUUACGAAGCUGAGUUCCGUAUCGGAGCAGACACGAACAGAAGCAAUUUGUGAGCUGAGAUUGAUUUCGAAGAACGAUUCCGAUAGCAGACCGUUGAUCGCCGACGCCGGUGCGGUUCCGUAUUUGUCGGAAUCGCUGUACUCGUCGAAUAAAUUGUCUCAGGAGAACGCAACUGCGGCGUUGCAUAAUCUAUCAAUUUCUCAUAAAGACUUGUUGAUGUCGACGCGAGGGCUCCUUGAUGCUCUCUCUCACGCUCUCCGGAAUCCGUCUUCUCCUUCCGUCGCUCAGUGCGCUGCUGGUACCAUUUUCAGCUUACUCACUGUCGAGUCGUAUCGGUCUAUUAUUGGGCACAAGCGUGAUAUCCUUUUUGGUCUUAUAGACAUAAUAAAAAACCCUAAUUCGGAUUCUAGAACUGUAAAAGAUGCUCUCAAAGCUCUUUUUGGUAUUGCGCUUUACCCGAUGAAUCGUGCUCAUAUUAUUGAGCUUGGAGCUGUACCUCCGUUGUUUUCAUUGCUGUGUAAUGAUGGUAGAGCAGGGAUAUUGGAGGAUGUUACUGCGGUGAUUGCUCAAAUUGCUGGUUGUGAGGAGAGCUGGGAAGCGUUUAGGAAGAUAUCAGGGGUUGGGGUAUUGGUGGAUAUGUUGGAUAGUUCUACUGGAUCAAGCAAUCGAACUAAAGAGAACGCGAUUUCAGCGUUGCUCAAUUUGGUGCAAUGUGGCGGAGAAGAGACGAUCAAUAGUAUUCGUGGCAUAGUUUUAGGGGCAGUGGAUGGCAUAAUUGAAGUGGCAGAAAAUGGAACGGAUAAAGGGAGGAGCAAGGCAAUGGCGUUGUUGAAGAUACUUGAUGUGAGUUCUUGUACGUUUCAAGAGGAGCAUAUGGACUACUUAUCAAACCAUUCGUCAUGAGUAUGUCAAAUAUAUCUUUUUGGUUAUGCUUGUAUAGAUAUCGUUCGUUUAGAUUUGUGUUUGUACUCUUUGUGGUAUUAUAACACUGAAUGG
rnacentral:misc_RNA from 1 species